GCGCCGGUCGUAUAGUGGCAAUUACACCACGCUGUAAACGUGGCGCCCUUUGGGCUACGGGGGUUCGAGUCCCUCCCGGCGCA
rnacentral:tRNA from 3 species